rnacentral:rRNA from 1 species
GAUGAACGCUGGCGGCGUGCCUAAUACAUGCAAGUCGAGCGAACAGAUGAGGAGCUUGCUCCUCUGACGUUAGCGGCGGACGGGUGAGUAACACGUGGAUAACCUACCUAUAAGACUGGGAUAACUUCGGGAAACCGGCGCUAAUACCGGAUAAUAUAUUGAACCGCAUGGUUCAAUAGUGAAAGACGGUUUUGCUGUCACUUAUAGAUGGAUCCGCGCCGCAUUAGCUAGUUGGUAAGGUAACGGCUUACCAAGGCAACGAUGCGUAGCCGACCUGAGAGGGUGAUCGGCCACACUGGAACUGAGACACGGUCCAGACUCCUACGGGAGGCAGCAGUAGGGAAUCUUCCGCAAUGGGCGAAAGCCUGACGGAGCAACGCAGCGUGAGUGAGGAAGGUAUUCGGAUCGUAAAACUCUGUUAUUAGGGAAGAACAAAUGUGUAAGUAACUAUGCACGUCUUGACGGUACCUAAUCAGAAAGCCACGGCUAACUACGUG